GACGAACGCUGGCGGCGUGCUUAACACAUGCAAGUCGAACGGUAAGGCCCCUUCUGGGGUCCACGAGUGGCGAACGGGUGAGUAACACGUGAGCAACCUGCCCUUGACUCUGGAAUAACAGUUGGAAACAGCUGCUAAUACUGGAUAUUCAUCGUCUCCUUCCUGGGGGGUGGUGGAAAGCUCCGGCGGUCAGGGAUGGGCUCGCGGCCUAUCAGCUUGUUGGUGAGGUAAUGGCUCACCAAGGCUUCGACGGGUAGCCGGCCUGAGAGGGCGACCGGCCACACUGGGACUGAGAUACGGCCCAGACUCCUACGGGAGGCAGCAGUGGGGAAUAUUGCACAAUGGGCGCAAGCCUGAUGCAGCAACGCCGCGUGCGGGAUGACGGCCUUCGGGUUGUAAACCGCUUUCAGUAGGGACGAAGGGUGACUGACGGUACCUACAGAAGAAGGACCGGCUAACUACGUG
rnacentral:rRNA from 1 species